UACGAGGGGAGCAAGCGUUGUUCGGAUUUACUGGGCGUAAAGGGCGCGUAGGCGGCCACGACAAGUCACUUGUGAAAUCUCCGGGCUUAACUCGGAACGGUCAAGUGAUACUGUCGGGCUAGAGUACAGAAGGGGCAACUGGAAUUCUCGGUGUAGCGGUGAAAUGCGCAGAUAUUAGGAAGAACACCGGUGGCGAAGGCGGCUCUCUGGAACGGUACUGACGCUGAGACGCGAAAGCGUGGGGAGCAAACAGG
rnacentral:rRNA from 1 species